CCUGGUAGUCCACGCCGUAAACGAUGUCGACUUGGAGGUUGUGCCCUUGAGGCGUGGCUUCCGGAGCUAACGCGUUAAGUCGACCGCCUGGGGAGUACGGCCGCAAGGUUAAAACUCAAAUGAAUUGACGGGGGCCCGCACAAGCGGUGGAGCAUGUGGUUUAAUUCGAUGCAACGCGAAGAACCUUACCUACUCUUGACAUCCAGAGAACUUUCCAGAGAUGGAUUGGUGCCUUCGGGAACUCUGAGACAGGUGCUGCAUGGCUGUCGUCAGCUCGUGUUGUGAAAUGUUGGGUUAAGUCCCGCAACGAGCGCAACCCUUAUCCUUUGUUGCCAGCGGUUAGGCCGGGAACUCAAAGGAGACUGCCAGUGAUAAACUGGAGGAAGGUGGGGAUGACGUCAAGUCAUCAUGGCCCUUACGAGUAGGGCUACACACGUGCUACAAUGGCGCAUACAAAGAGAAGCGACCUCGCGAGAGCAAGCGGACCUCAUAAAGUGCGUCGUAGUCCGGAUUGGAGUCUGCAACUCGACUCCAUGAAGUCGGAAUCGCUAGUAAUCGUAGAUCAGAAUGCUACGGUGAAUACGUUCCCGGGCCUUGUACACACCGCCCGUCACACCAUGGGAGUGGGUUGCAAAAGAAGUAGGUAGCUUAACCUUCGGGAGG
rnacentral:rRNA from 1 species